CCUGAAGUUGUUGACCUGGAACAAGAGGGUAAGGUGGAUGUGAGAACGGAAGCGCACGCCGUGGUGCAGGAUGUCGUGGUGUCCGAAGCACAUGAGGUGCCGGAACCAGAGGUGAAGAGUGAGGAGGUGGUGGUCCGAGACACAACCAAGGUGCAUCCUGCGCAUCAACCAGAGACGAAGGCCGAUGAGGUGCUGGUCAGGGAUACGGACACGGCUGUUGUGGUGCAGGAAAUGGAAGCAAAGGGUGAGGUGUCACGGUCUCGUGAGGCAGCUGGUGCGCAGACUACAGAGGCAGUGGCGGUGGUUGUUGCUUAGAUGUCUUUGCUGGUUCAGAGAGAUAGAUGGAGUAUGAUGAUUGCAUUAAGGAUUGUGAUACGGUUGUUGAGAGGGGAAGAGAACUUCAUGCUAACUGUGCUGACUUCAAGAUGGUCUCAAGGGCACUGGCAAGGAAAGCAACUGCUCUUGUCAAACUUGCCAAGUCUUCCAAAGACUACGAUGUUGCCAUUGAUUCCAGAAGGCUCUAACUGAGCAUCAAACCCAGGUACCCUGAAAAGACUAAAUGAUGCUAAACGAGCAAAGAAGGAGCUCAAGCAACAAGAGUAUUAUGAUCCAUAAAAAGCUGAUGAGGAGCGAGAGAAAGCAAAAAUACCCAGAAGCAGUGAAGCAUUACACUAAAGCGCUCAGGAGAAACCUGAAGGAUCCAAAGUUAAUGAUGAAGGAUGCAGCUGAGAGAUACCUUUCUUAAACAUACCAAAUCUCAUACAGAGCACAGCAUGGUCAUGUAGUUCGAUAACAACAUUACUUGUUUUUCCCUGCUGCCGAAUAUGUUGUCAUGUGUUGUAAAUUUUCAACAAGUGCAGUGAGAAGUCUUAGAAGAUCAGUGGACAUGUAGUCUUAUUUAUGACGUCCAAAUUUCAUCAUACAAAAAGAAAUACUCAGUGUAACCAUAUUUCUGACAUUUGCAAAAAAUAGUUAAAAAAUAUUGCAUAAUGGCAUGUGGAGCAGCUUAUAUUUCA